ACUCCUGCGGGAGGCAGCAGUGGGGAAUUUUGGACAAUGGGCGAAAGCCUGAUCCAGCAAUGCCGCGUGAGUGAAGAAGGCCUUCGGGUUGUAAAGCUCUUUUGUCAGGGAAGAAACGGUGAAAGCUAAUAUCUUUUGCUAAUGACGGUACCUGAAGAAUAAGCACCGGCUAACUACGUGCCAGCAGCCGCGGUAAUACGUAGGGUGCAAGCGUUAAUCGGAAUUACUGGGCGUAAAGCGUGCGCAGGCGGUUUUGUAAGUCUGAUGUGAAAUCCCCGGGCUCAACCUGGGAAUUGCAUUGGAGACUGCAAGGCUAGAAUCUGGCAGAGGGGGGUAGAAUUCCACGUGUAGCAGUGAAAUGCGUAGAUAUGUGGAGGAACACCGAUGGCGAAGGCAGCCCCCUGGGUCAAGAUUGACGCUCAUGCACGAAAGCGUGGGGAGCAAACAGGAUUAGAAACCCGAGUAGUCC
rnacentral:rRNA from 1 species